rnacentral:rRNA from 1 species
AGAUGGCGACCGGCGCACGGGUGAGUAACACGUAUCCAACCUGCCGAUAACUCGGGGAUAGCCUUUCGAAAGAAAGAUUAAUACCCGAUGGCAUAGUUCUUCCGCAUGGUGGAACUAUUAAAGAAUUUCGGUCAUCGAUGGGGAUGCGUUCCAUUAGGUUGUUGGCGGGGUAACGGCCCACCAAGCCUUCGAUGGAUAGGGGUUCUGAGAGGAAGGUCCCCCACAUUGGAACUGAGACACGGUCCAAACUCCUACGGGAGGCAGCAUG